GAGGUGGAUGAUAACGGUUACCAUGUGAAAUAAGAUUGGUUUAGUUGACUAAGCUAUCAAAACGGUUUUCAUCUUGAAGAAAUAGGUUGGAUAAGAAAUAAGAUGUCGUCUAACAACCAAUAAUUGUAUUUCAUAUAGUUAUCAAAGUGUUGCUUACUUUUUUUUACACCAAUUGCUUAUAUUAAAAUUAAAGGCCCAAUUAAUGGACUAAGUCAGUUACAACUGGAGAGAUCAUCGACGGCAAACUGAUAAAUGAAUAUAACUAAGAUAUGACGAAAGAUAGAUGUGGCUAUGGAGAGAAGAGAUCCAUAGAGAAGUUUCACUUGUAAUCCUAAAACCCAAGUUCGAAGAAACGCAAAGAAGUCGAGAUCGACGUUGAAGAACCCAACUAAUAGGUUUAGAGAGUAAGAAGUCUGUGAAACUCCGUAAAGGAUAACAGCUCUGGUGAGAGGUUCACAGUGACGACUAUGUAAAUAAUCGUUGAUGCUUGAGACAGUGUAAUGUAAUGGAGACUCAGCGGUGACGUAGUAAUGAGCAGAUCUGACGAGUUCACACUCUUGCACAGUAGUUCAUGCGACGAGGAAAGGGGUGGGGGAUCAUAGAGCGGACUCUAUAAAGAACCGUC
rnacentral:lncRNA from 1 species